GUCAAGACUGGCGUGAUUGCUGGAGAACAAUGUAUGCUUCCUUUUCUGCAUGGUGACAGCAUAAUACUGGAACCUAUGGGAAGAUCUGGACAUCAGGAUGAUGGAAAAAGAAAUGGGCAUUAAUAUGAGCCUCUACUGACCAGUUUUGAGAGUUUUUGGAUGACUUUUUACUGCUUGGUGGAAACAUCAACAAAG
rnacentral:lncRNA from 1 species